rnacentral:piRNA from 1 species
GUACCGUACCUGUGCAGCUGUUUU